rnacentral:rRNA from 1 species
AUUGAACGCUGGCGGCAGGCCUAACACAUGCAAGUCGAGCGGAUGAAGGGAGCUUGCUCCUGGAUUCAGCGUCGGACGGGUGAGUAAUGCCUAGGAAUCUGCCUGGUAGUGGGGGAUAACGUCCGGAAACGGGCGCUAAUACCGCAUACGUCCUGAGGGAGAAAGUGGGGGAUCUUCGGACCUCACGCUAUCAGAUGAGCCUAGGUCGGAUUAGCUAGUUGGUGGGGUAAAGGCCUACCAAGGCGACGAUCCGUAACUGGUCUGAGAGGAUGAUCAGUCACACUGGAACUGAGACACGGUCCAGACUCCUACGGGAGGCAGCAGUGGGGAAUAUUGGACAAUGGGCGAAAGCCUGAUCCAGCCAUGCCGCGUGUGUGAAGAAGGUCUUCGGAUUGUAAAGCACUUUAAGUUGGGAGGAAGGGCAGUAAGUUAGUACCUUGCUGUUUUGACGUUACCAACAGAAUAAGCACCGGCUAACUUCGUG